AAAUACCUUGCUGUAUAAAUAAGUUAUCAUUGUAAAUGAGAAUUUGUUAACCAACUCACCUGGUAAAAUAGAACAACAAACAUUUUUUUUUUCUUCUCAAAGUCAAAUGCUUCUUCAUGCUUCAGACCUGCUCAAGUGAAGACACUGAAAAACGAUCUGGAUAGACUUUGAUUGAAACAGAUCUCCAAGAAGAUGUGCGCUUAAUUCAGAUAGGUUUAAUUCUCGGAAAAGAUUUUUUUCUUUUCACCUGCGUGCCAAUCGAUAAUACAAUCGAGGUGGAAUCGCGCCUUAUACGAGUCUCCGAUGUGCAAGACCUUACGUACUGUAACUCUUGCAACGGGGGGAGAGAAUUUCAGCUACACCAUGAGGGAAAGCGUGCUCGAAGUGAAUGUGAGCUGAAAAAGAAAGGAAGAAAGAAAGAAAAGUGCUUCACCUCACACAAGAAACGACCUGCAUCUCCAUCUCCGGGUCUGCAUGGUGUGGCCAGCACAGUUCACGCCAGGGGUAACCCGUGCUGUGCGAAGGGGCGGGAUUUGCGCCUCUCCUCUUUGCUCUGCCCGUGUCCGUCCUGUGGCUGGGAGAGCUCUCUUCCUUUCGCGUCUUUCCUUUCCAUCUGCCUGCUUCCCUCUUUCUCUCUCGGCCCCCCCUCCUCUUGCUCAGUUCCCCCUUCAGCUGUGCCCGCGGAGAGCUCCCAGCCAGCCAGUCGCCUCUGAACGCUGCUCACACAUUAAUGGCGGCCUCUUCGGAGGACGAAACAGACCGCCGGCCCAUCAGGAGAGUGCGGUCCAAGAGCGAUACCCCUUACCUCGCCGAAGCCAGGAUCUCCUUCAACCUGGAGACAGGCCUCCAGGCAAUUGGUGAAUCUCUACUCAGCAGAAUGCAGAGCGAGUCUUUUCUGACCUGUCCCAGCCAUGACCCUGGGCAAGCUCUGCCACUUGGGGUGCCGUCAUGCCUGUGGCCCCAGCUGGUGACGUGUGAAACACAGAGCUGAAGCUGCACUUCGAGACAGCUCCUUUCCUGCUCCACCUCCCCAGACUUGCUGACAACACAGUGAUGAGAGAGAAUCUACUGUCUCCAAAGAGAGGAGAUCCUGCGUCCACACUCUCUUCGUCGCAAUUAAAGAAUUGUCAUUUUGUACUGAAAAGAUUAACCUAGUCAGUGCUAAGAUUUACUCUCAUGGGGGUGUGCUUUUGCCUCUUUUGUACUUUAAAGUCUUUGUACAUUUAUAUUAGUUCAUGUGAGUCAGAUUUCAGUUGGAAUAAAAAAAAACCACAAUUGAAAGAAAGAGGGCAAAAACCUUAAAAUACCACAUGACACUUUCCAAGAAAUUAUACAUACUAUUUAUGAGAUUUAACUAGCAUGAGACUUGUUAUCUGAGUUAAUUGGCAAUAUUUUUGCAUCUUUCUACUUCAAACGGGCUGUAUUAAAUUUUAAAAUAUCCUGGAGCUAUUAUUUGUCAUUUACACAUCAGGGCAAAGAAGUCCUGUUCUGAUCUGAUCUGGAGUGGUCCUUUCACUCUGCAAGAUAAAAUUAUUUUUAUCAAGUCCCUUUUGUGACCCUGUGGACUCUUAGAGAAGAUAAAAGACAAAGUGUGGUAACUGAUUUGCAC
ensembl:lincRNA